rnacentral:rRNA from 1 species
UACGUAGGGGGGCUAGCGUUGUCCGGAUUUAUUGGGCGUAAAGAGCGUGUAGGCGGCCAGGUAGGUCUGCUGUGAAAACUCGAGGCUCAACCUCGAGACGUCGGCGGAAACCAUCUGGCUAGAGUCCGGAAGAGGAGAGUGGAAUUCCUGGUGUAGCGGUGAAAUUCGUAGAUAUCGGGAGGAACACCAGUGGCGAAGGCGGCUCACUGGACAGGUCCUGACACUGAGACGCGAAAGCGUGGGUAGCAAACAGG